UACGUAGGGUGCGAGCGUUAAUCGGAAUUACUGGGCGUAAAGCGUGUGUAGGUGGUUUGCUAAGUCAGGUGUGAAAUCCCUGGGCUCAACCUAGGAAUUGCAUUUGAUACUGGCAGACUAGAGUGCGGUAGAGGAUGGUGGAAUUCCCGGUGUAGCGGUGAAAUGCGUAGAUAUCGGGAGGAACAUCAGUGGCGAAGGCGGCACUCUGGGCCGGUACUGACACUGAGGCACGAAAGCUAGGGGAGCAAACAGG
rnacentral:rRNA from 1 species